rnacentral:lncRNA from 1 species
GAAUGUGAUUUCUCUAAGAGACCAUUGUUGUCUAAUGCCAGGAAGUCCGGCCGUGUUUCCCACGCCCCAGCCCCCAUCGUCACCAGCCACCCUCUUCCUUCCGCAAAGCCUUGGGCAGCCGCCCCGGACAGCCUCUGGGCUCCAGGUUCGUCCAUCGUCCCAGGGGGAUUGGUGACUACACGGACAACCCAGCUACCUCCACACCAGCAGCCCUUUUUCUGGCUCCCCUGCCUCUGCCUCUCACUCCCGAGGUCCCGGGCAUCACUUGGAUAUCACCCAGUGGAGCACCCUGCUCUCCGUCACCUCCUGAACUCCUCGCCUGCCUGUCCACGGACUCCCACGUCACCGUUCUCUAACCUCUGCUUUGUGGCCGAUCAGCGCCUCUCUGAGUCACAGAGCCCAGGUCUUCCUGCCAGUCUCCUGCCCUCUUUGCCCUGUCUUUGUGUGGCCCCGUCUGGCAGAGUCCCCGUUCUGGACCGGCGGCUCUGUCUGAUGCUUUCGGCCCGCACGGAGGCAGCGAGCUGGCUGGGGGAAGGACGCACCGCAAGGCAGACUCCCUGCCGCUGCCCGACUCCUCGUUCUUCAAAAGCGCCUGGCGUUCCUGCCACGUUCCUGAGCGUCACACCUUCCUCCCCACACUGCUGCCUCCGCCCUUGCUGUCAGCCAAGGCCGUCGCCACCUCCGUCCCAGGGAGAGAAGUCAUCAGCAGACUCGGCGGCGUCGCCCCACAAGCCCUCAGCCACGCCUGCCCCCGCAGGGGCUCAGCCUUCUCCCCCAGGUUUAAGGGCUCUGCUCCAUUGUGGCUCCGCCUCCCUUCCCACCACGGCCCCAUGCUCGCUGGGGGCAGGAAGCCUCAGCCCCGGGCUCCAAGUCCCCGUCCCCACGCAGGCAGUCCUGAAUUUCCUUCCCGCUGCCCCUCUCCGCCCUGCCUGGAGCAGCGCCCGGGCUGAGAGGGGCCGCCCCGACGUGGCGUGGCGAUGAGCGGGAAGGCCCAGCGCCGGUGGACAAGGAUGAGGAUCCGCACCCAGGCGGGCCAGCAGUGAUGCCCCCGUCCCCUCGGAGAAUGGCUGCCCUGGGCAGGUGCUUCCCC